UGUCGCAUAAGUUUAAGCUAACCGAUCGCUCAUCUUGCUAUAAAACAUAACCCGGGCAUCUCCCGUGUGAUAUCCGGCCACUGGAACAUCAACGCUGCUACAGGAGCAUCUUGGCUAAUUGUACCCAUCAAUAAAAAUAGAUUACACACACACACACAAAAAAAAGGCAUCAAUUAAAAGUAAGAAGCUAUGAGAAAGCAGUCACUUUUAAUGCAUCAUUUAUCACAACAACCCGGUGCUCUGCUCCUCUACAAUUUUUAGAACUUCUAUUGCCAUGACAACAGGAUGCAGCCUUUACACAGUGUGGGCCAAACCCUGCCCUUGGUGACUCAGAUGCAAAUUCAGAGUAACUUUGCUGAAAUGCCUGGAACAGCAGCGAUGCAAGUCCACUGUAACGGAGGAAGAAUGGGUCCCGCGCUCUCCUUUAUACUAAUUUCUGUGAGGUUGUGCAUUCAUUUUCACCAUACUGGACCACAAGAGGAAAAAUGAAUAACUUCAGAAAAGGUUGGUGGCUUGGGUGGCAAACAUGAAAGACUCAAAAGGCUGCACCUAUGCUCCCAUCUCUGAGCCAAGGCCAACUUUGCUGAAGCCUGUGUGAUUCACUGUAAUGCUGUUGGUUCAUACCAGCUGGGGGAUGGACAAACCAAGGCUGGUAAUCAGAAGAUACCUGCUAUCAGCUGAAAUUGAGGUCCUUCACAGGUGGCAGGUUAGGACUCCAUCCUGUUUUCUGGGAUAUCUCACAGCUCAGCUCCCACCUGCCUCAAGCUGCUCCAGCAGGUCUACACAGUGAAUUAAAUGGAUUUAGGUCCUUUGUCCUAAAUGACAAGCCAGCUUUCACCUCUUGUGUCAGUGCAGAAGAGCAGGUAGGAGAGUGCCCUCAUCACCACAGAGCUGUGACUUCCUGAGGGGGGGGAGAUGCUGUGGGCUCUUGAAGACAGGGGAUCCUGGCUGGUCCCAUUGGAGUAGGCUGUCAAUGUCCAGAUGAAAUUGAAUGACAGGCAUUGAUGUUCAAUUUGUUUUUCAAAAUUUAAACAAAUGUAUUUUAUUUGGAAUGGGCUCCUGGGUUCAGGUUUCCCCCUGUGACUAGUGUUGAACUAUUUUAACAAGGGAAAUUAUAUUUGUUGGUCUAAAGGCUCUAGGGUGCCUAGUCAACAACUUUUUCUUUCUUUCUUUCUUUCUUUCUUUAAUUGCUACAUGUUGUGUUACCUUAUUUUUAACUUGAUUCGCACCAGGGAAAACCAUGCUCCAGAGGAAUUGCAGAUACAGUUUGCAUUGUUUUCAGCCUGCCACGUACUGGCCAAAUAGUUUCUAAAUCACGUGUAUGCUCUCUCACUUUUUCACCCAUAAUUUACUCUGAAUAGUUUCAGGAAUACUUACCCCAGUCAUUUCCCAGGCAGUGAUCUGGUAAGUAAUUCAAAAGUGUUCAUGGUCAUCAUUUAUUCAGAUUACAAACAGGGAAGCAAUUUAACAGUUGCACAGAUAUGGAAACUCCUGAGACCAGCUUUCUUGCCUUUUUUCUCUUACUUUGUUCUUUUUGAAAUAGGACCAUUCUGGUGCUCAUGACGUGGAAAAUAAUUGUCCCACCAUUCUUGCAACUCAUAAAAAAAACUGGAAUUCUACAUCCCCCUGCUGGAAAAAUGUUUUGAAAAUGCACACAACUUUAUGCCAUUACCUAAUCCUUGCUAACCUGGCAGUUUGGAAAGCAAAGCAAACUAAUAUAUACCAAAUUCCUCCUCUUUUUCUGCUUAAUUAGUGGGUAGUCGACCUAUGAGAAUUCCUUUUAAAGCAACAGACCUUUUCUACCGAUGAAAUAUACUGGUCGUUCAACAAGGCACAGCAUUGCUACAGAUUUUGUUGGGGAGAAUGUCUGACAAAUGAAUGCCUUCACAGGAAAAUAAUAACAAGGUUUAAAGGGGGUGGGGGAUCAGAAAUAACAAAUUAGUGUGAUAAAAUUGCCUUCAAAAUCCUGAUGAUGGAAGAAAAAUUUUCCUAAGUGAAUACAGUAUGCUUAAUUAAACUUAAUUGUACAAAGAAGUAUUUGUAAAUGGCUAUAUGUGGAAAAGAAUAAAAAAGAUGGGUGUUUUCUUCUCA
ensembl:lncRNA